GAUGAACGCUAGCGGGAGGCCUAACACAUGCAAGCCGAGCGGUAUUGUUUCUUCGGAAAUGCGAGAGCGGCGUACGGGUGCGUAACACGUGUGCAACCUGCCUUUAUCUGGGGGAUAGCCUUUCGAAAGGAAGAUUAAUACUCCAUAAUAUAUUGAACGGCAUCGUUUAAUAUUGAAAGCUCCGGCGGAUAGAGAUGGGCACGCGCAAGAUUAGCUAGUUGGUGAGGUAACGGCUCACCAAGGCGAUGAUCUUUAGGGGGCCUGAGAGGGUGAUCCCCCACACUGGUACUGAGACACGGACCAGACUCCUACGGGAGGCAGCAGUGAGGAAUAUUGGGCGAUGGGUGCAGGCCUGAACCAGCCAUCCCGCGUGAAGGACGACUGCCCUAUGGGUUGUAAACUUCUUUUGUAUAGGGAUAAACCUACCCUCGAGAGGGUAGCUGAAGGUACUAUACGAAUAAGCACCGGCUAACUCCGUG
rnacentral:rRNA from 1 species